rnacentral:rRNA from 1 species
AACGAACGCUGGCGGCAUGCCUAACACAUGCAAGUCGAACGAGACCUUCGGGUCUAGCGGCGCACGGGUGCGUAACGCGUGGGAACCUGCCCUUAGGUUCGGAAUAACUCCCCGAAAGGGGUGCUAAUACCGGAUAAUGUCUUCGGACCAAAGAUUUAUCGCCUUUGGAUGGGCCCGCGUUGGAUUAGCUAGUUGGUAGGGUAAAAGCCUACCAAGGCGACGAUCCAUAGCUGGUCUGAGAGGAUGAUCAGCCACACUGGGACUGAGACACGGCCCAGACUCCUACGGGAGGCAGCAGUGGGGAAUAUUGGACAAUGGGCGAAAGCCUGAUCCAGCAAUGCCGCGUGAGUGAUGAAGGCCUUAGGGUUGUAAAGCUCUUUUACCCGGGAUGAUGAUGACAGUACCGGGAGAAUAAGCUCCGGCUAACUCCGUG